rnacentral:rRNA from 1 species
UGGGGAAUUUUGGACAAUGGGCGAAAGCCUGAUCCAGCAAUGCCGCGUGUGUGAAGAAGGCCUUCGGGUUGUAAAGCACUUUUGUCCGGAAAGAAAUCCUUGGCUCUAAUACAGUCGGGGGAUGACGGUACCGGAAGAAUAAGCACCGGCUAACUACGUGCCAGCAGCCGCGGUAAUACGUAGGGUGCAAGCGUUAAUCGGAAUUACUGGGCGUAAAGCGUGCGCAGGCGGUUUGCUAAGACCGAUGUGAAAUCCCCGGGCUCAACCUGGGAACUGCAUUGGUGACUGGCAGGCUAGAGUAUGGCAGAGGGGGGUAGAAUUCCACGUGUAGCAGUGAAAUGCGUAGAGAUGUGGAGGAAUACCGAUGGCGAAGGCAGCCCCCUGGGCCAAUACUGACGCUCAUGCACGAAAGCGUGGGGAGCAAACAGGAUUAGAUACCCUGGUAGUCCACGCCCUAAACGAUGUCAACUAGUUGUUGGGGAUUCAUUUCCUUAGUAACGUAGCUAACGCGUGAAGUUGACCGCCUGGGGGAGUACGGUCGCAAGAUU